CUACCAGUAACAACUAUGGAGGACAUUGUGGAACUGUCUAUAUGGUGACCAACAUGUUUUGAUGCUCAUCAUGUCACGAGGUCUUUUUUGGCUGAGGAAAAGCAGUAGUAAAAGACGUAGCUGGAAAUUCUAAAAUAAAAAUGAGCCCACAAGUGAUUUCCACCUCCUGACUAGGGGCAGAUGAAGCAUACCAUCUCCAGUCAAUGUACAGACUAGAGGAUGUCAUCACAAGCUACCUUGCUCUCCCCUGAAGAUCCCUGUGUUACCUUCUGAAGAUCUGAAUCAAAGAAAAUUUGGAAAACAAAAGAGCUUUCCAGUGCGGGGUCUGGCAGAACAGAAAAUAAGAUAGCAGAGUCUGCAUUCUUCUCCUUCAGACAGGACCCAAACAUUUCUACUGUGCCAAGCAGUUGGCUUCUGGAAGCCUUUUGGAGCAAAUAGUCCCAAAGUGUGACAUUUCUACAGCAUUGCAUGGGCCAGAGCUGCACAGAAGCCAUGAGCAUGAACAUCCUGGAAGGAAAUGGUCCUAAAGGACUGAGAAAAAAAUGUAAG
rnacentral:lncRNA from 1 species